GACUGUGCUAAGGUAGCAUAAUCACUUGGCCUUUAAAUGGGGUCUGGAAUGAAGGGAAUCACUAGAAUAAGCUGUCUUAAUUUGAAUUUAUUAAAACUUCCUUACAAGGUGAAAAUUCCUUUACUUAAAAGAAAGACGAGAAGACCCUCAGAUUUAUUUAUGAUUACUAGAAUUUUAUUUACUUCUAGUUAAAUUUUUGCUGGGGCAGCAAAGUAUCAAAGAUUAAUAUAUUUUUAAUGUGUUUAUAUAAAACGAGUUUUAUUAAUAAAAAAUUAAAUACCUAAGGGAUAACAGCAUAAUUAACUUAUUACAUUGUGACCUCGAUGUUGGACUAGGA
rnacentral:rRNA from 1 species